GCUUACAACAUAGUGUCAAUGCACAGGAUUCCAUUAGAACUCCGCAGUUAAGCGCGCUCAAUAUAGAGUAGUACUGAGAUUUUACAUGCCUAUGGAAUUUUAUAAACUUAGACU
rnacentral:rRNA from 1 species